rnacentral:rRNA from 1 species
GAUCCUGACUCAGGAUGAACGCUAGCUACAGGCUUAACACAUGCAAGUCGAGGGGCAGCGGGAUUGAAGCUUGCUUCAAUUGCCGGCGACCGGCGCACGGGUGAGUAACGCGUAUCCAACCUUCCGCAUACUCGGGGAUAGCCUUCUGAAAAGGAGAUUAAUACCCGAUGGUAUCAAGAGAUUGCAUGAUAACUUGAUUAAAGAAUUUCGGUAUGCGAUGGGGAUGCGUUCCAUUAGG